rnacentral:misc_RNA from 1 species
CGGGGAGCCUGUUUGCCCAAGCCCUUUCAUCUUUGAUUUUGAGCAGCCAACAUUUACCGAGGAAAAUAUCAAAGAGCUUAUCUGGAGGGAAUCUGUAAAAUUCAAUCCUGAUCCUUGAGAAUUGUCCGAUACUCUAUGAUUCCCAUUUUCUUCAUAAAUAUAUAGAACCCAUCAGAGUCUAUAGGGAAUGAAGAAAAGAACUCACUGGGUAUAUUGGGAUUCACUCACAUGUAACAUAUAGUUGAUUCUUUUCAUCACGUAUCUUUUAAGAUAUCGAAGUGUGUGAAACGGAG